rnacentral:rRNA from 1 species
UAGAGUUUGAUCCUGGCUCAGGAUGAACGUUGGCGGCAUGCCUAACACAUGCAAGUCGAACGCGGUCUUCGGACCGAGUGGCGAACGGGUGCGUAACACGUGGGUGACCUACCUGGAAGAGGGGGAUAACCGCCGGAAACGGUGGCUAAUACCGCAUGAUCUAGCGAGCGCUUGAAUCUCGUUAGCAAAACUCCGGUGCUUCCAGCGGGGCCCGCGGCCUAUCAGGUAGUUGGUGUGGUAACGGCACACCAAGCCAAUGACGGGUAGCUGACCUGAGAGGGUGGUCAGCCACAGGGGAACUGAGACACGGUCCCCACUCCUACGGGAGGCAGCAGUGAGGAAUAUUGGGCAAUGGGCGCAAGCCUGACCCAGCAAUGCCGCGUGAAGGAUGACGCCCUUCGGGGUGUAAACUUCUUUUAGGGGGGAGGAGCAAGGACCGUACCCCCUGAAUCAGUCACGGCUAACUACGUGCCAGCAGCCGCGGUAAUACGUAGGUGGCGAACGUUAUCCGGAAUUACUGGGCGUAAAGGGUCCGCAGGCGGAUGGCCAAGUCCGGCGUGAAAGCUCCCGGCUCAACUGGGAGAGGGCGUUGGAAACUGGUGAUCUUGAAUCACACAGAGGUCGGUGGAAUUCCCGGUGUAUGGUGGAAUGCGUAAGAUCGGGAGGAACCUCGAAAGCGAAGGCAACCGGCUGGGUGAGGAUUGACGCUAGGGACGAAAGCGUGGGGAGCGAACAGGAUUAAUACCCUGGUAUCCACGCCCUAACGAUUGUGUGCUCGGUGUCUGUCGUAAGGAUGGCGCCUCACUAACGCGUAAGCACACCGCCUGGGGAGUACGGCCGCAAGGCUAAACUCAAAGGAAUUGACGGGGGCCCGCACAAGCAGCGGAGCGUGUGGUUUAAUUCGAUGCAACGCGAAGAACCUUACCUGGGCUUGACAUGCUGGUAGUAGCGACUCGAAAGAGGAGCGACCUUCGGGAGCCAGCACAGGUGCUGCAUGGCUGUCGUCAGCUCGUGUCGUGAGAUGUUGGGUUAAGUCCCGCAACGAGCGCAACCCCUGUGAAGUGUUUUACAUGUCACCUCAGACUGCCCGGCUAAACCGGGAGGAAGGUGGGGAUGACGUCAAGUCAGCAUGGCCUUUAUGUCCAGGGCGACACACACGCUACAAUGGCGCGUACAACAGGUUGCCACCGCGCGAGCGGCAGCUAAUCCCCAAAGCGCGUCACAGUUCAGAUUGGAGUCUGCAACUCGACUCCAUGAAGGCGGAGUUGCUAGUAACCGCGCGUCAGCCAUAGUGCGGUGAAUGCGUUCCCGGGCCUUGUACACACCGCCCGUCACGUCAUGGGAGUCCGUAACACCUGAAGUCGGGCCGCCAACCGCAAGGAGGCGCCUGCCGAGGGUGGGACGGGUGACUGGGACGAAGUCGUAACAAGGUAGCAGUACCGGAAGGUGCGGCUGGAUCACCUCCU